rnacentral:sRNA from 1 species
CAGUUGCGAUUCUAGUUUUUAUACUUAAUCAUACACAUGACAUCUAGUCAUAUUUGACUCCAACAAUCUAACAAAGCUUCUUCUUGCUUCUCAAAGCUUUGAUUGUGUAGCCAAAGUCCGUAUGAGUCUUUGGGUUUCUAUCUA